rnacentral:lncRNA from 1 species
GUAUGGCUUCAAUAGGGUUAGCGGUUAAUAAUAAAUGUGGGUAUUGCUUCAUAAGGUUAGCAGGUUAAUAGAUAAAUGUGGGUAUUGCUUCAAUAGGGUUAGCAGGUUAAUCGAUACAUGUGGGUAUUGCUUCAAGGUUAGCAGGUUAAUAGAUACAUGUGGGUAUUGCUUCAACAAGGUUAGCAGGUUAAUAGAUACAUGUGGGUAUUGCUUCAACAAGGUUAGCGCGUUAAUAGAUACAUGUGGGUAUUGCUCAACAAGGUUAGCAGGUUAAUAGAUACUGGGGUAUGCUUCAACAAGGUAGCAUGUCCAUCAUCUUGUCUUUAACAUACUGUUUACUU